rnacentral:rRNA from 1 species
UACGAAGGCCCCUAGCGUUAUCCGGAUUUAUUGGGCGUAAAGGGUCUGUAGGCGGUUUAUUACAUCUCCUGUUAAAUCCCAAGGCUUAACCUUGGAACCGCGGGAGAGAUGGGUAGACUAGAGGCCGGUAGAGGCAAGCGGAAUUGUCGGUGUAGGGGUUAAAUCCGUUAAUAUCGACAGGAACACCAAAUGCGAAGGCAGCUUGCUAGAACGAGCCUGACGCUAAAAGACGAAAGCGUGGGUAGCGAAUGGG